rnacentral:rRNA from 1 species
GAUGAACGCUGGCGGCGUGCCUAAUACAUGCAAGUCGAGCGAACAGACGAGGAGCUUGCUCCUCUGACGUUAGCGGCGGACGGGUGAGUAACACGUGGAUAACCUACCUAUAAGACUGGGAUAACUUCGGGAAACCGGAGCUAAUACCGGAUAAUAUAUUGAACCGCAUGGUUCAAUAGUGAAAGACGGUUUUGCUGUCACUUAUAGAUGGAUCCGCGCCGCAUUAGCUAGUUGGUAAGGUAACGGCUUACCAAGGCGACGAUGCGUAGCCGACCUGAGAGGGUGAUCGGCCACACUGGAACUGAGACACGGUCCAGACUCCUACGGGAGGCAGCAGUAGGGAAUCUUCCGCAAUGGCGAAAGCCUGACGGAGCAACGCCGCGUGAGUGAUGAAGGUCUUCGGAUCGUAAAACUCUGUUAUUAGGGAAGAACAAAUGUGUAAGUAACUAUGCACGUCUUGACGGUACCUAAUCAGAAAGCCACGGCUAACUAC